UCCAGACUCCUACGGGAGGCAGCAGUGGGGAAUAUUGCACAAUGGGGGAAACCCUGAUGCAGCGACGCCGCGUGAGUGAAGAAGUAUUUCGGUAUGUAAAGCUCUAUCAGCAGGGAAGAUAAUGACGGUACCUGACUAAGAAGCCCCGGCUAACUACGUGCCAGCAGCCGCGGUAAUACGUAGGGGGCAAGCGUUAUCCGGAUUUACUGGGUGUAAAGGGUGCGCAGGUGGCAGGGCAAGUCAGAUGUGAAAGCCCGGGGCUCAACCCCGGUAUUGCAUUUGAAACUGUCCGGCUAGAGUGCAGGAGAGGCAAGCGGAAUUCCUAGUGUAGCGGUGAAAUGCGUAGAUAUUAGGAGGAACACCAGUGGCGAAGGCGGCUUACUGGACUGUAACUGACACUGAGGCACGAAAGCGUGGGGAGCAAACAGGAUUAGAUACCCGAGUA
rnacentral:rRNA from 1 species